GCUGGCCGCACCACCCCACGCGGUCUCGAAACCAGGCACAGGGCAGGCAGCCGCGCGGGGCCGUCUCCCCUUCCGUUCCGCCUCGCCGAAACGACAGACAGACGAGUUGCUCCAGCCGUCACCGUCAAGUAACGGACCCCCACCCCAGCCCCGCGUCCAGGGCCUCCAGGCUCCUUCUGGGGGAGGCCGCGGCUCACCGUGUUGGCUGCGCCCCCACCGUCGCCUCGCCUUAAACUCUCCCCGCCUCCGUUACCGUCUUCCCCCUUCCCACCUCCCCCACCCGCUGUGUUCAUCCAUCGACCGCGCGAGCCCCCGCCCGCCGAUUCGACGACGUUUGAUUUUUUUUCAUUUGAUUUGAUUGUAACGUACCGCAGCAGGAGGAGGGAGGGAUUCUUGGACCGUUGUUCGGCUGGAUGGUGGAGGCGGUUCGUCGAUUUGAGAGCUCCGGGUUUCUUGGACCUGCGUAGGUAAAAGCACCACCCCCCCCAUUUCCUCUCGGCUGGCGGAUGGACGCGAGGGAGGUGUGAAGCCUGGUCGCUAACUGAUGCUCGUGGAGCGAUUCGGAGGAGAGGAGCGCGCCGUGCGGAGGCGGUGGAGGAGGAAGCGCCGAAGAUUUGGGCAGAGAAGCGACGGAAGGGGAGCAGCAGGCGGACGAGGAGCGAGCCGCCAGGAGGACGACGGCCGCCGCCGCCGCCAUGGGCGAGUCGCUGCUCACCGCGCUCUCCAUGGACACCACCACGGCCCACCAUCCACACCAGGGCCCUUUCACCUUCCUCUCCAUGGACACCGCCUCCCACGACCACUUCGACCUCUUCCUCCCGCCACAGGGGCCCUUCCGCCGCUGCCUACAUGCCGCGGCGGUCGCCCCCCCUGACAUCAACCUCCCCCUCACCGCCGACCCGUCUCCGCCACCUCCGGCGUCGCACGACGCCAACGUUGACGUGCUAGAUGCCGGCCUCGGCGGCCCGCAGCACUACGACUCGGAUUCGCCCGCUGCUGCCGGGCCUGUCUUGGCCCCAGCAGCAGCCGCGGCCACCGUGAUCGCCGUGUCCCACACCAAGGGCUCCGGUUCCAGCGUGGCGCGCAAGUGCGUCAAGAGGAAUGAUAGCAUUUGGGGAGCGUGGUUCUUCUUCACCCACUACUUCAAGCCAGUCAUGUCCACCGACAAGGGUGGCAAGGCGAAGGCAGCCACCACCGGCGGGAAUGGUAAUAGUGCCAGUGCCACUCUGGACGCUUUCCUGGUGCAGCACGACAUGGAGAACAUGUACAUGUGGAUCUUUAAGGAGCGAUCGGAGAAUGCCCUGGGGAAGAUGCAGCUGAGGAGCUUCAUGAAUGGGCACUCGCGCCUUGGGGAUCCACAGUUCCCUUUCAGCGCAGACAAAGGGUUUGUGCGCUCACACCGGAUGCAGCGCAAGCAUUAUCGUGGGCUCUCUAACCCGCAGUGUAUUCACGGGAUCGAAAUCGUGAGGGCGCCAAACUUGGCAGGUGUACCUGAGUCUGAUUUAAAGAGGUGGAUGGAGCUCACCGGGAGGGAUGCCAAUUUCUCGAUCCCAGCCGAGGCAAGUGAUUUCGAGUCUUGGAGGAAUCUGCCGAGCACGGAAUUUGAGCUCGAGAGGCUAGCAGCCGUGGUUCCUACAAAGAGUAGCUCACAUGGGCACCACAAGAGGUUGCUGAACGGUUCUGGCCUUAACCUAUCGACACAACCAUCCAAUCACAGUUCUGGGGAUGCCAUGGAGAUCGCAACCAUCUGUAACAAGCGCAGGAAGGAUUCCUCACCGUCUGCAACGGAAGAGGACUGCAGCAAUUCGAAUUCAGACAAGGCCCAAGACAUGGAUGUGAGCCACACCUUUGAGCCAUCAUGGAUGAAUGACUUCACAGGUGUGAUGCGCCAUGCUUCUGGACCAGUAACUGCCGCAAAAACAAUAUAUGAGGACAGCAAGGGCUACUUGAUCAUUGUUAGCCUGCCUUUCUCUGAUUUUCAGAAGGUGAAGGUUUCAUGGAAGAAUACUCUUACGAAUGGGAUUGUUAAGGUAUCUUGCAUUAGCGUUGGUAGGAUGCCAUUAUUGAAAAGGCAUGAUCGGACUUUCAAGUUGGCGGAUCCUUCUCCUGAGCAUUGCCCACCAGGAGAGUUUGUCCGGGAAAUCCCACUGCCUACCCGGAUCCCUGAAGAUGCCACUCUGGAAGCAUACCGCGAUGAAACGGGGACAGGCCUGGAGAUUAUUGUCCCAAAGUACCGUGUUGGCCCUGAAGAACAUGAGGUGCAUGUGUCCAUGAGACCGCCCUCGUCAUGGUGCCAAUGAAACUUGUUCCGAGGUGUGUGAUGGAUGAUGCCCUUGUAGUAGUUACUGGUCCAUCCUUGUUAGUGCUUGACUGAUGUUUUGUUUUCUCCUAACCCUAUAUAGCUCGAGGGGAGACACAUCUGGUGCGGAGGUUCCCUGUUGUUACCAUAAGGCUGAGGCUACUGUCCGAGAAACGCAGCUCAGUUUUGCCAAUUUUGAUGGGGAACAGUCCUAAUUGAUUCAAGCAUUCUGGUAGUUGGCAUUGCAGCAUUUGGAACGUAUUAGCUUUUGCAGGUCUAUGGGGUUAGGUUUGCUGUUAUGUUUCUCAAGACUUCCAAUUGAUCCCGUUGAGACGACAAAGUGAACGCUGACACAACGGUUUCUAACGCUUCCCUUGAAGUGACAAGAUGUUUGGAUACUUUACUUUACCCCAGAGAGGCAGGGCCUAGACUCUCUCCAGCAAGGUGCGCUAUAUGCUCCUCUACUCUAUAUUUAGCGCAUGGUGAUCAACUUUUUUCCUCCAACAACGUGCGCUAAAGGGUCCGGUAAAAUAGAGGACGUCCUCAACCACCUCCAAAUGCAGCGGCUCCUCUAUUCGUGUCUCUCUACUUCAGCUCCGCUAGAAAUGUACAACAACAUGCAGUAUAAUAAGUAUUGUAGCUGAAUUAAUGAAGAAUAAGUAGCAGCAAGCAAUAUUAUUAGGUGUCUGCUCAAAUAUGUAUAGUAAUUUUUUUAAGAUCUGCCAAGGAAACUUUGUAAUAAAAAGGUGUACUAUUUUAGGUGAAGAAAAUUAAUAUACAUCGUAUUUUAAUACUA